UACGUAGGGUGCGAGCGUUAAUCGGAAUUACUGGGCGUAAAGCGUGCGCAGGCGGUUCGUUAAGUCAGAUGUGAAAGCCCCGGGCUCAACCUGGGAACUGCAUUUGAAACUGGCGGGCUUGAGUAUGGCAGAGGGGGGUGGAAUUCCGCGUGUAGCAGUGAAAUGCGUAGAGAUGCGGAGAAACACCGAUGGCGAAGGCAGCCCCCUGGGCCAAUACUGACGCUCAGGCACGAAAGCGUGGGGAGCAAACAGG
rnacentral:rRNA from 1 species